GGCAAUGGACUCCCAACCUUACACAGGGCACAGCCAGUUUAGUAUAUUUUCGAACAAUGACAUGGACACAGCACCUGCAAUGGUGCAUGGGCAGUUCAGCAUCUUUGCCAAGUCUCAAAGUUGGAAGAAUGUGAGCGGCACGUUUGGUACCAUGAAUCUGAGCCACAUCCUGAAGACAGGGCACUGAAGUUCACCUUCAUAACUCAAGUACAAGGCGGAUCGGCACAGACGGACAUUGCCGUGUGUCUAGGACCGACCUUGACCUUGCCUUGUGUACAGGAGCGACACUUGGGUGCAUAGAUGAUCUUCAUAGGUAUAAGAUUGUAUCUCUAUUGAUCAUCUUUGAGGGAAAUCAUGGACUUGUGUUUCAAAGAAUGGCUAAGAUUGUAUACAUGUUAUUGAGAGUUAUGCCUGGUCAUUUGAUGUAGUGAUGAGGUUGGAGUGACUGGUUCUGAAAGGUUGGGGAUGAUGUGAGAGAAGAUGAGAGUGGAUUGGUUCGGUUUGGACAGGCAGCAUGGAGCAAGUUCGGAUGGGGAAGUAAAGGAUGUUGGCCUUGGUUAGGACUAGAGGAAGAGAGAAUUGAUGACUAGAAGUGUGGUUAUGGGGUAGGGAUGUGAAAUGUGUCUUACUAGGUUAGGAUAGUGAGUGAUCCAGUG